rnacentral:rRNA from 1 species
AGCUUGGGGUGAGAAAGCUCAGGUGAGGCCUGCCCGGUGAGAGAUUUAACGGCCGCGGUACUUUGACCGUGCUAAGGUAGCGUAAUAAUUUGUCUUUUAAUUGGGGUCAGGUAUGAAAGGUUUUAUGGGGAAAAGCUGUCUUUAAUGGAUUAAAUAUAAAUUACUGUGGAGGUGAAAAAGCCUUUUUAUUUUAAAGGACGAGAAGACCCUUUGAAUUUUUAUUUAGCUAAUUAAUUUAGGUUAAAUUUUAGUUGGGGCGGCUAGAUUAAAAAAGUAAAUGGCUUUUAACAAAUUUUUUUUAAAGUGGAUUACAGGAAAAUUAUUUUGAGUGAGUGUAAAUUACCAUAGGGAUAACAGCAUUAUUCUUUAAGAGUUUGUGACCUCGAUGUUGGACUAGGAAAGGAAAUAGUUAGAAGCUAUUUUUAAUUGGUUCUGUUCGAACUGGGAUUCCU